rnacentral:rRNA from 1 species
UACGUAGGUGGCAAGCGUUGUCCGGAUUUACUGGGCGUAAAGAGCGCGCAGGCGGUCGAUCAAGUCGCGUGUGAAAGCCCCCGGCUCAACUGGGGAGGGUCAUUCGAUACUGCUCGGCUCGAAGACAGGAGAGGGAAGUGGAAUUCCCGGUGUAGUGGUGAAAUGCGUAGAUAUCGGGAGGAACACCAGUGGCGAAGGCGACUUUCUGGCCUGUUCUUGACGCUGAGGCGCGAAAGCUAGGGGAGCAAACGGG